UACGUAGGUGGCAAGCGUUGUCCGGAUUUACUGGGCGUAAAGCGUGCGCAGGCGGUUAUAUAAGUCAGCUGUGAAAUCCCCGGGCUCAACCUGGGAACUGCAGUUGAGACUGUAUGGCUAGAGUGUGUCAGAGGGGGGUAGAAUUCCACGUGUAGCAGUGAAAUGCGUAGAUAUGUGGAGGAAUACCGAUGGCGAAGGCAGCCCCCUGGGAUAACACUGACGCUCAUGCACGAAAGCGUGGGGAGCAAACAGG
rnacentral:rRNA from 1 species